CUCCGGGACCCCGCGCCCGCCCGCCCCGCAGUGCCGGGGGAGCAGCGCCGGCAGCGGAGCCGCUCUCGCUCGCCCCGGGAGGAUGCCUCAGCACUUUGUGCGUUCCGCGCUUCCAGCAGAAGGGAAGCUAAUUCCUCCGCUGAGGGCCUCAAUCAGGCAUUUAUUUGACACUCAUGAUGCAUGAACGGCUAAACGCUCGUCUGAGCGGGGGAUCAGCCGCUGCUUUAUAGCCCGCGAGUUUUUUGAUGCAGAACGGGAGCCUGAAAAGCAGGGGACGGAGGAUGAAUCUCAACUCGGCUCCCGACGACGGAACGGGGAUCGGAACGCGUUACGGAUAAAUCGGAGCGCCGCCGUAGGUCACGACGCGACGAUAGGACGGUGCGGGAAUCUCGGGACGGGCAGAGGGCCGGCGGCUGCCCGCAGGCCGCCCAUUGGGAAGAUCCGUGCUGGCUCUCAGGGGAUUCAAAUCGGCCCUUAAUGCGGGGUAGCUCCUAACGUGGGCGCAGCUGAGCAGGGCACGGCGAUGGAGCAGCUUACGCUUAAUGCUGCUGCAGACCUCAGCCUUAAGGAACAGAUAAUGUGCCCUUCUGCCGUUAACCUUUACAUAAUGCAAGUGGGAAAAAAAGCCUCAUCACUACUGAGCGCGUCCGAGUGCAGCCUGGCUGCAGUUUAACGAUGAUACUGAAAGCGUCGUCAUGUUUUGGUAUACUCCUUUCUGAGCCUGCUGGAAACCUUGGAGAAGUGACAAACGGGACUCAGAAGCGUGCAAGAAAAGUUACUUCUGGGCAAAACAUCAUCCAUCAGGAUACCACUUACAGUGUAUUUUGGUAGAAGUCCCCAAAUUACAGUUCUUCAAAAUUAAAAUAAAGAUCACGCAUAAUAUGGGCAGCUUGUUUCUGGAUUUCACAGAGCUCCCAUCUUUUGCUGCAAGCUGCUUCUAAUGUUGCAAUGAAAUCCAUAUUCUGCUGCUUCUACUUCUGUUUUGCACCAGGUUUCUUGUUUUUAAACAUAUUGUGUUCGAUGGGGAGUGUGACUUGACUGUCAAAUGGCAAUGCUGUAUAUGCAGCCUUUACAACUGCCAGCCUGAAUGAUUCCAUGGGUGAAAUCACAUUGGUCAGGUGGUGUUGGCAUGGUUCAUGCAGUGGGUGCAUAUUGCAUGGGGGCAGGCUGCAUUGCUGGCCCCGGGGCCUACUGACACGCAGUGCCAGGCUGCAGUGCUGGGAGCAUUGGGGCCUACUGGACACACAGUGCCAGGCUGCAGUGCUGGGAGCGUUGGGGCCUACUGACACACAGUGCCAGGCUGCAGUGCUGGGAGCGUUGGGGCCUACUGACACACAGUGCCAGGUCACAGUGCUGGGAGUGUUGGGGCCUACUCAGUACUGGGGCCUACUGACACAGUGCUGGCUCAACGCCGCUUACAGAGCAGGGUGCUCCAAGCCUGCAAGGGCUAGCACAGGCAUCUAAGACAGGCUUAGGGUUUGCUGGACUUGUGAGCCUGGCCAAGAUGCUAGCAUGUUCCUCUGCCUUCCCACAGCCCACCCAGCUGUGCUGCCUGGAAGCGCAGUGCGGAACCAGGUCACCCUGAGCAUGCUUGAAUAUUAUUUCUGAGUGGAAAUGCUCAGUGUACAAGAAAGAAACAUUGCAAUGCAGAAAAAGUUAAUGAAAGAGCUGAGCUAGAAAUACACUCAUCACCUGAGCUGACCCUUUUGUCUUGUAUCAUCUGAACCUUUGCUUGGUUUGGAACACAGAAGCCCUUUGUCCCAGGCCAGAAAUAAAGAAUAGCAGCCCUUUGGGAUGUGAGCU
ensembl:lncRNA